GUAGGCGACCUAUCAAAUUUCUA
rnacentral:siRNA from 1 species